rnacentral:rRNA from 1 species
GACGAACGCUGGCGGCGUGCUUAACACAUGCAAGUCGAACGGAAAGGCCCUGCUUGCAGUGUACUCGAGUGGCUAACGGGUGAUUCACACGUGGUUGAUCUGCCCUGCACUUCGGGAUAAGCCUGGGAAACUGUGUCUAAUACCGGAUAGGAGCCAUUUUUAGUGUGAUGUUUGGAAAGUUUUUUCGGUGUAGGAUGAUCUCGCGGCCUAUCAGCUUGUUGGUGGGGUAAUGGCCUACCAAGGCGGCGACGGGUAGCCGGCCUGAGAGGGUGGACGGCCACAGUGGGACUGAGAUACGGCCCAGACUCCUACGGGAGGCAGCAGUGGGGAAUAUUGAACAAUGGGAGCAAGCCUGAUGCAGAGACGCCGCGUGGGGGAUGACGGCCUUCGGGUUGUAAACUCCUUGCGCUAGGGACGAAGCUUUUUGUGACGGUACCUAGAUAAGAAGCACCGGCUAACUACGUG